UGGCGAAUGAAUGUUGUAUGGUGAUGAUGGUGAUAACAAUGGUGAAAGUCUAAUUAUACUUGUGCUCUUUUGAGGGGAUACAUACCUUUCUUGCUCUUUUGAAACUUUUUGAGGAGAAUGAGAUGCUCUAUAUUUUCUUUUUCUUUUCUCUUAGGUGGGUAUCUUGUACCCCUAAUUCUACUGUCGGACACUUGUCCAUUUUUACCUCUCGUCUCACUUUUUCCUUUCUUUCGAGGUUCCGGGCACUUGCCCCUUUUUUAUUUCCUCGUAUCUUCUCUCUUUUUUUAGAGCACUCAUCUCUUGAAAUAUUGUAGCAAGUGGUAGUAACCGAAAUAACUUGAACAUUUAUUUCACAGGGGAAAACAGAAAUAGGAGAAUGUUUUUGGCUAUUCUCUCCCUGAUUAGGAGUAGAAUAAUUUUGGGUGGUUCUGGAGAUGGAAAUGAGUGGAUAUAUGUGGAUGCGUACUUCCGGAGUAGAGCAGCAUGUGUGAGUGAACGUGCAAGUGAAUCUUGAUUUAACCACAUGACAAGCUCCUAAGGGUCUACACAGCUUAACCACACUCAAUGCUCAUAAGCAGUAAAAAGUAAAUGUGUGGCUCAAAGUCUAGCAAGCAUGUAUAUAUGGCUGUGGUAGGAAUUUAAACUCUCAUCAUACAGGAACUCAUCAUGUGAUAUUUUAAAGAUUUUCAAAGAUAAAAUUCUCUAGAAUUCUAGCAUCUCUAGGAACAGAUAAACAACAACUCAACCUUCCCAUAUCAUAUCCGUUAACAACUUAGACUUUAGAUCAAGUACUCUUCCCACAAGUUCAGAUUUAGAGCAAUUCUUAAUUAAUAACAGUCAUGCCUAAACUUGAGAGAGAUUUCAAUUUUGAGAACUAGUCAUGGCAGAGCAACUAUUCAUCAUUUCUAUGUGAGAGCUUAUCAUGAGGGUUCAUAGCAAACUUUAUUUAUUUAGCAAACUAAGCA
rnacentral:lncRNA from 1 species